GAUUUGAUCAGCCUUGGGGGUUCCCUUGUAAGUUCCAAGUUUCUUUUCUCAAAGUUUUUUAAGAUUCUCUCUUUGAUUUUUUUUUUUUUUACAGUUUUAUUGUAGUGUAUCUUAGAGAGGAUCUCUUUAAGUUGAGUUGUUUUGGUGACCUGUGAGCUUCAUGAACUUGGAUAUCCGAAUCUUUCCCCAGAUUUGGGAUGUUCUCAUCCAUUUUUUCUUUAAAUAAGCUUUCUGCCCUUCUUCUCUUCUCUUUCUGGAACUCCAAUACUACAUAGAUUCUUUCUUU